rnacentral:lncRNA from 1 species
CAGCAUGACCAAGUCACACACAUGUGCCUGGCGUGCCAAGGCAAGGACACAUGUGCCAAGCCAGAACACACCCAAUGUGUUCUUUAACCAGCCAAUGAGAUGUUGGCAAGGAUAACUUUGGAAAAUCCGCUUAACCUUUUUAAAAAAAGGAUUUCACCUUUAUCUUCUCAUCCACUCCACUUCCACACGAAAUCCCUAAGGCUAGGCACUCUUCAUCAAAUAUUCAUACACAAAGCCACAAAUCUUCACUCAUUUCUUCAUCAAUUCAUCAUGUAAGUUGUUCUUCACCACUACUUUCUACUUUCGUGUUUCCCUCUUUACUUUCUAAAGACAAACUCUUAUAACUACAAUUUGGGGUAAAAUUUAUGAACAUUCAAAAAAUUUGUCUCCUCAACUUAAUGUCAUGAUCCUUGUUAUUUAGGAAUUCACUAUGAAUUUUUCAUCAACAUAAUUUAUUUUGUCAUUCAUAAAACAACAUCUCCAUAAACAUGUCUUAGUUGAUGAUUUUUGAUUUUGUGCUUCAUAUUGAUGAAAAUAGUUACUAAUUUAUAAACUUUUGACUUAUAUUUAUAAACUAAGUUCAUGAUUUUUGAUUUUGUGCCAAAAGUGUAUGAUUUCUACCCUUGAAAACUUUAGAAAAACAUGUUGGUUGGUUAAACUAUAUUGCCAUUUUGAUGUCAUAUAUGUUGUUUGGUGCUUUUUUGAUCCAUACGUUGAUGUUUGGCUAUUAAAAUAUAAUGUUUGGUUAACCAUAAUGUUGUUUGGAUCCAUAUGUUGUUUGUUUAGAUUCACAUAUUGUUUGGUUGUUAGAACAUGAUGUUUUCAUGAAUUAAGGAUCUUGUUUGGAUUUCCUACAUGCUGUUUGGAUUGAAAAACUGUUUUUUGCAUUCAAAAUUUUGAAAAAAAAGUUGUUUCUUGGAUUGGAAUUUCUAUGCCUUUUGGAUUGGAUUUUUAGCAAUCAUUUUCAUGGAAAAUAUUUGUUGUAUUGGAGUGGAAUUUUUGUCAAUCACUUUUAAACAUGAAAAUGAUAUGUUAGACAAUGAUAAAAAUAAUUUCAUGUAAAUUGUUAGCCUAACCCCAACAACAUGGAUAUUGCAAUUUCUGAUAAUGUUGCAAGGUCCAAAAGACAUUUACAAACAAUGGAAAAAUAGUUUUUGAUGAAAGCUCUGACACUGACCAAAGCGAGGUUGACCAUCGACUUACAUGAAACAUACAUAUGUCAAGAACAAUCAAAUAGAAGUAUGAAGAGUUAACUCUCAUGUGUCCAACUUCUCAUUUAUUUGAUUUUCCAAUGCCCAAAGCAAAACUAAGCUACUCUAUAUUUGAUGAUAAUUCCAUAGUUAUAAUUGAUGUUAUUUAUGAUGUCAUUGAUGAGUGCACCAGGAUAGGAGCAACAUCCAUGAUCAUACCUCACUUAUCCCUAAUCUCUACAAGUGUCAUAAGGUGUCAGAUCCAUAUGGUGAAGUAGCGGGCUUAAAAUAAACAACAAAUUGCUAGUUGUAGAGGUAUUAUAGGCAUGCACCAGAGCUUCCAUAGGGGGGGGGUUCAUAUGCAGAUUUGGCUGCUCAUACUCAACGGCCUGAGCAUACCACAAGGUAGAGAGGGAGGAAGUAGUCGUCAUGCUACUACAAAUGCUGAUGAUGAAGAUAUAGAGUAGCUUACCCUCAUAUUAUUAUACAAAAGAAAGACCCAAAAAUGAUUUUUUUUUUCCUGUCUGACAGGGAAGUGUCUGUUCCUAUGUAUCUGUAGCUGCAAUAGAGAAAUCAAGGUUACAUAGUCAUUUUAGAAAAUGGUUGAUCGAUUGAUGUAUUUUUAUUUUUUUGAUUUAUAAAGUUGACAAGAAAAGGUAGUGCGACAAACCACUAGUCUUAUAGUAGCACGACAAGGAACUAGUCUUAUAGUGUACUACUUUACAUUGCUUUUAUUAAAUUAUUAUUUUUAAAAAUUAACAAGAUGAGGUAACAUGGCA